GAUUAAAAUUUUUAUCUAUUUCUAUUAUUAAAAAUUAACGUAGUUGAAGAAAUAAUCAAACAGUUUCAUGUGGCAUGCCAUGUGUAUUUCAUGCUGAUGUAUAUGGACUGAUUUUUAAUAAAAGAAAUUGAUAAAAUUUUGAACA
rfam:Gossypium hirsutum cultivar TM-1 chromosome 4, whole genome shotgun sequence